rnacentral:rRNA from 1 species
UACGAAGGGGGCGAGCGUUGUCCGGAUUCAUUGGGCGUAAAGAGCUCGUAGGCGGUUUGGUAAGUCGGGUGUGAAAACCCCAGGCUCAACCUGGGGACGCCACCUGAUACUGCUAUGACUUGAGUCUGGUAGGGGAUCACGGAAUUCCUGGUGUAGCGGUGAAAUGCGCAGAUAUCAGGAGGAACACCGGUGGCGAAGGCGGUGAUCUGGGCCAGUACUGACGCUGAGGAGCGAAAGCGUGGGUAGCAAACAGG